rnacentral:rRNA from 1 species
GAUGAACGCUGGCUACAGGCUUAACACAUGCAAGUCGAGGGGAAACGACGGGGAAGCUUGCUUCCCCGGGCGUCGACCGGCGCACGGGUGAGUAACGCGUAUCCAACCUGCCUCUGACUGAGGGAUAACCCGUCGAAAGUCGGCCUAAUACCUCAUGGUAUCGUCUGCGGGCAUCCAACGACGAUUAAAGAUUUCAUCGGUCAGGGAUGGGGAUGCGUCUGAUUAGCUUGUUGGCGGGGUAACGGCCCACCAAGGCUACGAUCAGUAGGGGUUCUGAGAGGAAGGUCCCCCACAUUGGAACUGAGACACGGUCCAAACUCCUACGGGAGGCAGCAGUGAGGAAUAUUGGUCAAUGGGCGAGAGCCUGAACCAGCCAAGUAGCGUGCAGGAAGACGGCCCUAUGGGUUGUAAACUGCUUUUAUGCGGGGAUAAAGUGGGGGACGUGUCCCUCAUUGCAGGUACCGCAUGAAUAAGGACCGGCUAAUUCCGUG